GGGGUGACACACGCACGCCUUGGCGGUCGACUCCACACCGGUCAGUUGUCAGGGGACUUCGGCUAGGACUGCGGUUACACCUCGCCAGCAUAGUUAUUUGUCGCUCUCCAAAAUUUCCUAUAAGUGGAACAUUCAAAUCUGGGAUGUUGCUAAACGGAAAAGCUGAGCUAGCUGCUAGGAAGGCCCGAAAGGCAAAAAUUCGCUAUGAACGGCUAGAGUUGUGUGGGAUCGUGGUGGGGCUGACGAUCGCCGCCGUGCUGAGCUACAUGCUCUACUGCAGUAUGUAUUGUAACUGGCUGAUGACUUAUUGCAGAUUCGCUAUGAACGGCUAGAGUUGUGUGGGAUCGUGGUGGGGCUGACGAUCGCCGCCGUGCUGAGCUACAUGCUCUACUGCAGUAUGUAUUGUAACUGGUUGAUGACUUAUUGCAGAUUCGCUAUGAACGGCUAGAGUUGUGUGGGAUCGUGGUGGGGCUGACGAUCGCCGCCGUGCUGAGCUACAUGCUCUACUGCAGUAUGUACUGUAACUGGUUGAUGACUUAUUGCAGAUUCGCUAUGAACGGCUAGAGUUGUGUGGGAUCGUGGUGGGGCUGACGAUCGCCGCCGUGCUGAGCUACAUGCUCUACUGCAGUAUGGUGGACGGAUGGCAGGAUAAGCCGGAAACUCGCUGGCACGUGCUCACCAUCUCCCUGAGUCUGCUGGUGCUCAGUGUCGUCGCCUGUAUCUACCUUUGCCGACGUAUCCAGCCUACCGUACGUUUACACUCCCCCUAUCUGGUAAGUGAUUGACUGUGUUCUUUGGUCUCACACUUCAAGAAUUUUUCAAGAAUUUGGCUUUCUGAUUCUACAGGAUUUGCCGGUGAAGGAAUUAGCAGCUGUCCUCGUCUAGCUCAGUCUGUGCCCAUUCUCGAGAACACUGACCAGUGUGAACAGUCAGCUGUACUUGAUCGGGGGAGUGAGAGAGCAGCCCCCCAGCUACGAGGCAGUCACCAGCCUCGAUAACCCCCCACCUCCCUACAUCACCAGGACUGAACAGCUCCCACCACCCCCCUACAGUGCUGUCUUCACAGUCUGAAGACGCGGAGCCCACUGCGCUGCCACUCUGCGUCAGUUCUCAGUAUUCUACGCUUUAUGUCUGUUGUCAAAGACCAACAGCUUCGAAUACGUUGUGAUCUUAUUUAUAUUUCAUAAUGUUUCAUUUAUGUUUAACAUAACACUGUGAUACUACAAUAGUUAUAUUGUUAUUGUAUAGUUUUAAAGAAGGGCCAUGCUUACAAAAUAUCACAGUUUAUUUAUAACAUUGUCAAAACAUGUGUGACAUCAGUAUUUACGAGUUUUGUCGAAGCCGUGAAAAGCUUACGACACGAAUACCAGAGCUCUUGAAAACUGCCCUGAAUGUGCAAAUAAUUAUUAAUAGGCCUACUGUUUGUACUGAUUAUACCUAGGUCCUACAACAUCAUUGAUUUUACUCCCAAUAUAUUACCAAUUUGAUUAAUGAUACAAUGUGUACUUUUAUUAAUUUGUAAACUUGCAAUAGUUACAAAAAUAAUUUGUUACGUAACAAAUAGAAGUACACUUAUCGAAACUGAGUUAACAUAGACACCAACUGUAGUUGACUUAUGAAGGAAACGAAGGUCAUAGUAGUUUUAAUUCAAUUUUUAAUAAUGAUUAUUUCAAUAGUCAACAAUAGUUUUUUAUGUUACUUAAAUGUAUUUUAAUUUAAUAUAAUGUGUACAUUUUUAUUCAUACAUUUGUAUUGUGAUGUAUUAAAACAAGUAAAAAUGCUUCAAUGCAAGAUUGUAUUCCUCCUGUUAACAACCCAAGGUUUUAUAGGAAAUAGCAAACCUAAUAAAACACGAGUAUAGCUUGUUUUAUGUAACUAUGUUUAUAAUACAACACUGUUAUGAGUUUGUAACUUCUAUCUCUAGAAGACAUACUACUUGUUGUAUAAAUAUUUUUGGAAAUAUUUACCAAUAAUGGAAGUACAUGCUUUAAAACUUCUUUCUUAUGUGAUCAUUAAAUUUGUCAACAAUCACAACAGUUUAGUAAAUUCACUGAUUUAUAAAAGAAACAGCCAAUAGUUUAAGUUCAAUUACAAGUACAGGAAAAACUGUAUAUCAAGGUUUCAUGAAACCUAUUUUCAUACUAAGAUAAAAAAAAGUAAAAAGUAAAGAAUGUCUUAUUUUACCAGGCGAAGUUAGGGCUAAGAAGCCCUCUCUAACACUUAACCUGGGUCUAAGAUAAUGACCUUGUUAAGACAUAUUUUCUAUAGUAUAUUUGAAGUAUCAACGAUUAAUUACAAAUUUUUAUCGGUUUUUUAUCGGUUAGUUUUAAUUGUUGAAUGGUUGUAAACGUAAGUGUAAAUGAAUAAAACUGUAAUUAAUA